rnacentral:rRNA from 1 species
CUACGGGCGGCUGCAGUGAGGAAUAUUGCACAAUGGGGGGAACCCUGAUGCAGCAACGCCGCGUGGAGGAUGACGCAUUUCGGUGUGUAAACUCCUUUUAUAUGUCAAGAAAAUGACGGUAGCAUAUGAAUAAGCACCGGCUAACUCCGUGCCAGCAGCCGCGGUAAUACGGAGGGUGCAAGCGUUACUCGGAAUCACUGGGCGUAAAGGACGCGUAGGCGGGUUGGAAAGUCAGGUGUGAAAUCCUACAGCUUAACUGUAGAACUGCACUUGAAACUUCUAAUCUAGAGUAUGGGAGGGGGAGAUGGAAUUAGUGGUGUAGUGGUAAUAUCCGUAGAUAUCACUAGGAAUACCUAAAGCGAAGGCGAUCUCCUGGAACAUUACUGACGCUAAGGCGUGAAAGCGUGGGGAGCAAACAGGAUUAGAUACCCCAGUAGUC